GACGAACGCUGGCGGCGUGCUUAACACAUGCAAGUCGAACGGAAAGGCCCUGCUUUUGUGGGGUGCUCGAGUGGCGAACGGGUGAGUAACACGUGAGUAACCUGCCCUUGACUUUGGGAUAACUUCAGGAAACUGGGGCUAAUACCGGAUAGGAGCUCCUGCUGCAUGGUGGGGGUUGGAAAGUUUCUGCGGUUGUGGAUGGACUCGCGGCUUAUCAGCUUGUUGGUGGGGUAGUGGCUUACCAAGGCUUUGACGGGUAGCCGGCCUGAGAGGGUGACCGGCCACAUGGGGACUGAGAGACGGCGCAGAAUCCAACGGGAGGCAGCAGGGGGGAAUAUUGCAAAAUGGGCGGAAGCCAGAGGCAGCAACGCCGCGUGCGGGAUGACGGCCUUCGGGUUGUAAACCGCUUUCGCCGGUGACGAAGCGUGAGUGACGGUAAUGGGUAAAGAAGCACCGGCUAACUACGUG
rnacentral:rRNA from 1 species